UAUUAAAAUUCAUUUGAAUAACGAAAAUAACUUAAAAUACCCGCACACACACACACAAAAUAAUUGAUUCGUUAUUGAUCGUGAUCUAUGAGCAAGCGUACUCAAAAUACCCGCAUACACACACAAAAUAAUUGAUUCGUUAUUGAUCGUGAUCUUUGAGCAAGCGUACUCCUUCUCUAAUCAUCUACUAUAAAUGUUGAUGGGCUACAUGGUCACAAUCUCGGGAAAAGGGGAUUUUCAUACCCGUACUAUUGGGACCGUGGAUUUUUAUACCUCGACAUUUUUGUAGUGUAUUUUCCAACCCAAACUGAAAUAAAAUUUGAAUUUCAUACCUGUAUUUGAUAAAUCGUGCAAAAAACGAAGUCAAUCUAAUGGGUGUUAGUCAACUCCGUUACGAUGAUGAGUCAUCGUACACGUGUACGCUGACGUGUAUCCCAUACGACGUCGUUUUAAUAAUUGUUCUCAAAAGUUUAAAUUUUUUGCAAAAUCAGGGAUUCGAACCCAUGACCCUU
rnacentral:lncRNA from 1 species